ensembl:lncRNA
AUCUUCUGUCGUGUAGGAGGAAGCCCCGAGCCACGGAAAUUCGGUAAGGAUCGGAUAAUGGCAAUGAAAUCACAGCUCUAAAUCUUUUCAUGGAGUUGAAGACAGACAUUUUACUGUGGGAGCCAUCUCAUCUUUAUCUGUCUGAGUCGAAGCUGGUAAAGAGGCCAAGAAUUCCCAAGCUUUCCCAGGCAAGUGGGGAAGAACACUGGGAUGCCUUUUCCUCCUCCUCUGUCCAUCUGCAGGCCAAGUGUGCAUCCGUCACAGGCAAACUCUGAAUCGAGCUUUGUGCCAGUCUCUGGAAAGAGACCCAAGAUCGUGUGAGGAGCAAAAGUGACAGUGCUGGUGGCAGCGACAUCUGCAGAGCCAGCCCCAUCCCUGUCUGCAGCAGAAUACGUAUGGGAAUCCUUUGUGCGAACAAUCCACCCAGGGUAGAAUGGGGCUUUUGACAUCAGCUGAGACCCAGGCUGCCUUACAAUGAGAGGCCUGUUGGUCAAAGGAAGGACUAUUUAAUGAACUGAGAAUCUGAGGCCAGCUCUGGCCAUCUGCACUUAGAAUCAUUAGAGCAACUCUACUGUAACUGGCAACAUUGAAUAAUGCAACAAAUUCAUAUUUCAAAAUUGUGAACUUUAAAAUUUUGUGCUUGUGUCUAUGAUGAAAAGCAUUAUAUAAACAUUUGAUACUACCAUUUUAUUAGUAAGGAAGCCUGAAAAAGUGUCUCUCUUUUGACUCUGAGGUCAAUAAUGAUAAUGGUUUUUCACCUACACUGGGAUAGAAAUGUUCUGUCAAGGAUAUGAAAGCACUUUAUGAGGGUGAAAUUCAUUAAAGCCCUUAAUAAUCAGGUAGGGAAGACAGGUGCUCACAAUUGUCACCACUUGAUGAGUGAACACACCGAGGCUCGGGGAGGACAAUGACUCAGGAACAAGGUCGAAUCGCAGGUGGGGGGUGAAGCUGAUCCCUAACAGCAUCCUCCAGCCCCCAGCGCUGAGGAAGGACAUGGAGGGCUUGCAUCGACUUUUCCUGGCAGGCUUGUGAUUCCCAGCCAGAAUGCAGGUGGCAAUGUUAUGAUUCCUGGCAUAACCUUCAAUGCUUCAAUGAUAAUCUUUGCCAGUGCCAGGCACCAGCUGAGUGUCACUGUGCAACUCCCAGGCUUAAGUGAUGCAUGCCGAGGUUUUCAGAGCAGUCUCUCAUUUAUUAGUUGUGUUGGAAAGAAAUCUCUACUACCUAAGUGGGUACCUCUGGAUUUUAACAGCUGUGGUUUAUAAGAGAUUUGAGAGGGGGUUUGUUUUCAAAGUGCCUUUCACAAAGUAACACCUUGGAUUGUAGUUUACAUUCCAUUCCAGUAGGAUAACUUGCAACACUUCUGUGCUCAGAAAUCCAACUGUGCAAGAAAAGUCAGGUUAUAUUUUCAUACAGCCCAUUUUGGCAAAUAUGCCUUCACACCACUUUCCCUCCUCCUCACCGCUAUUGGCAAUAGUCCCAAUGGAAGAGUUUUAUGUCAAAUGUUGAGUAUCUUGGAAGCUGUCCUGCACAGACACGACUGCUUGGCUGCGUGUUGGAGAGUCGUGGUUGGACUGGGAGACCAGGAAGGUCCCUUCUAGCCUGAGAUGUUAUGACUCUAGAACUAAUUAGUUUCAACUCAUAACAUGAAAUGCUACUAGCUACCAUUUGGUAGGCUUUUUCUGUGUUCCAGGCUCUGUGCUAAGAUCUUAACAUUACUCUAAUUACAAAAUCCCUGCCAAUAUUAACCUCGUUUUACACAAGAACAAAGGGGUUUAGGGAAAUCAAAAACUUGUCCAAUGACACAGAUUUAAGAUUUAGCAACUGAUGGCCACAUGGAAAUGGAUUACAGAUUAUUCUAAUUUGACGCUCUAAACCCGCAAUUUAACCAGAAUGAAAUUUAGGGCUGCGUGCUGUGGCUCAUGCCUGUAAUCCUAACACUUUGGGAAGCCAGGUGUAUCCCUUAAGCCCAGGAGCUUGCGAGCAACUUGGGCAACAUGGUGAAACCUGUAUCUACACAAAACACAAAAAUUAGACAGGUGUGGUGGUGUAUGCCUGUAGUUCCAGCUACUCGGAAGGCUGAGAGAAGGGAGGAUCGCUUGAGCCUAGGAGGUUGAGGCUGCUGCGAGCUGUGAUGGUGCCACUGCACUCCAGCCUGGGCAACAGAGGCAGACCCCGUCUCAAAAAAAAAAAAAAAAAAA